UACGGGGGGGGCAAGCGUUGUUCGGAAUUACUGGGCGUAAAGGGCUUGUAGGUGGCCAACUAAGUCAGACGUGAAAUCCCUCGGCUUAACCGGGGAACUGCGUCUGAUACUGGAUGGCUUGAGUGUGGGAGAGGGAUGCGGAAUUCCAGGUGUAGCGGUGAAAUGCGUAGAUAUCUGGAGGAACACCGGUGGCGAAGGCGGCAUCCCGGACCAUUACUGACACUGAAAAGCGAAAGCCAGGGGAGCAAACGGG
rnacentral:rRNA from 1 species